GGAAUGCGCACCAGGAGCUGGUGCAGGGAAUGUCGAUAUGUUCUCCAGAUGUUUUUGACAGGCAUUGAAACACUCUUGAGAGUGCAGAUGACAUCUUAUAUUCUGUUCCACUACAAGAAGCUUUCCAAUUGAAACAUCCCACAGAAGGAGUGAUAUGGCAUCAUGUCAUUCCAAGAAUAUGUUUUCCAUAGUCAGCAUGUGUUUGAAGUUCCACUUGUGUAGCAGAUGCCCUCUCAGGCAGAGAACUGGAGCCCCGGUGGUGCAAUGAGUUAAACCCUUGUGCCGGCUGGAUUGCUGAUCUGAAGGUCAGAAGUUUGAAUCCAGGGAGCAGGAUGAGCUCCCGUCUGUCAGUUCCAGCUUCCCAUGCAGUGACAUGAGAGAAGCCUCCCACAGGAUGGUCAAACAUCUGGGCAUUCCCUGGGCAACGUCCUUGCAGACAAUAUAUUAUCUCACACCAGAAGUGACUUGCAGUUUUUCAAGAUUCUCCUGACAUAAAAAAAAUCUCUAAUAUGUAAUAAGAGUGCCAUGUGUUCAGUUGUUUUAAAAUAAAUGUCUUAAAACAAAUGUUUUAAAAUAAAAUAUCGUUUAAUAGAAUUAUCUCAUGC